GCUUGCAACUAACACGAGUGGCGCACGGGUGAGUAACGCGUACGCGACCUGCCCUCAAGAGGGAAAUAGCCCUGGGAAACCGGGAUUAAUGUCCCAUGUGAUUGUAUUUCUAAGGGAUAUAAUUAAAGGAGCGAUCCGCUUGAAGAUGGGUGUGCGUCCUAUUAGCUAGUUGGUGAGGUAAUGGCUCACCAAGGCGACGAUAGGUAGGGGGCGUGAGAGCGUGACCCCCCACACGGGUACUGAGACACGGACCCGACUCCUACGGGAGGCAGCAGUAAGGAAUAUUGGACAAUGGGCGCAAGCCUGAUCCAGCUAUCCCGCGUGCAGGAUGACGGCCCUAUGGGUUGUAAACUGCUUUUAUUAGGGACGAACCCCCCCGACGUGUCGGGGGCUGACGGUACCUACAGAAUAAGCACCGGCUAACUCCGUGCCAGCAGCCGCGGUAAUACGGAGGGUGCAAGCGUUAUCCGGAAUCACUGGGUUUAAAGGGUGCGUAGGUGGUUUGAUAAGUCAGUGGUGAAAUCUUGCAGCUUAACUGUAAAACUGCCAUUGAUACUGCGUUUCUUGAGUAUAGUUGAGGUAGGCGGAAUGUAUCAUGUAGCGGUGAAAUGCAUAGAUAUGACAUAGAACACCAAUUGCGAAGGCAGCUCACUAAACUGGUAUUGACGCUAAGGAACGAAAGCGUGGGUAGCGAACAGGAUUAGAUACCCUGGUAGUCCACGCCGUAAACGAUGAUCACUCGUUGUUGGCAAUACACCGUCAGCGACUGAGCGAAAGCAUUAAGUGAUCCACCUGGGGAGUACGGUCGCAAGAUUGAAACUCAAAGGAAUUGACGGGGGCCCGCACAAGCGGUGGAGCAUGUGGUUUAAUUCGAUGAUACGCGAGGAACCUUACCUGGGCUUAAAUGCAGUGCAUAAACGGGAAACUGUUUUUUCCUUCGGGACUCUUUACAAGGUGCUGCAUGGUUGUCGUCAGCUCGUGCCGUGAAGUGUCGGGUUAAGUCCCAUAACGAGCGCAACCCCUAUCGUUAGUUGCCAGCGAGUCAAGUCGGGGACUCUAACGAUACUGCCGGUGUAAACCGCGAGGAAGGUGGGGAUGACGUCAAAUCAGCACGGCCCUUACGUCCAGGGCUACACACGUGUUACAAUGGCCGAUACAAAGGGCAGCUACCAGGUGACUGGAUGCUAAUCUCGAAAGUCGGUCUUAGUUCGGAUCGAAGUCUGCAACUCGACUUCGUGAAGCUGGAUUCGCUAGUAAUUGUAGAUCAGCAAUGCUACGGUGAAUACGUUCCCGGGCCUUGUACACACCGCCCGUCAAGCCAUGGAAGCUGGGGGUACCUGAAGUCUGUCACCGCAAGGAGCGGCCUAGGGUAAAACUGGUA
rnacentral:rRNA from 1 species